AUCAUUGUUUAUUAUUCAGAUAUAUUCCAAAUAUAAAAUAUGUGUAUUAAUAAGUGAAUUUAACCUGCAAUUUGUUUAUUGUAGCUAAAGCAAAGAUCGAUGGCCUCAAAAGGUCAAUGGCCGUUACUGGAGGAGGGCCUCCACCACCAGCACUAACAAGUGCAGAUGAGGUGCUUUCCCAGUCAUUGGAAGGGAGGCCAGGCAUUCAUGGCCUAGACCAUGGCAUUGACACUGAUGAUGCUUAUGCCUGUGCAGAUGAAACUGACACUGCAGCAGAAGGCCCAGUAGGUGAAGAACCACAAGGUGAAAGGGCAGUGCCUCAACAGGAAAACGAUUCAGAUG